ACCGAAGUUAAGCAGCGUCGGGCGCGGUCAGUACUUGGAUGGGUGACCGCCUGGGAACACCGCGUGAUGUU